rnacentral:piRNA from 1 species
UAAAGAAUGCCACAAUGAAAUACUGACCA